CGCACGGGUGCGUAACGCGUAUGCAACCUACCAUCAACAGGGGGAUAACACUGAGAAAUUGGUACUAAUACCCCAUAAUAUCUCAUGCGGCAUCGCAUGGGGUUGAAAACUCCGGUGGUUGAUGAUGGGCAUGCGUUGUAUCAGCUGGUUGGUGAGGUAACGGCUCACCAAGGCGACGAUACAUAGGGGGACUGAGAGGUUAACCCCCCACAUUGGUACUGAGACACGGACCAAACUCCUACGGAAGGCAGCAG
rnacentral:rRNA from 1 species